rnacentral:rRNA from 1 species
AAUAGAUACCCGAGGUAGUCCACGCCGUAAACGAUGAGUGCUAGGUGUUAGGGGGUUUCCGCCCCUUAGUGCUGCAGCUAACGCAUUAAGCACUCCGCCUGGGGAGUACGGUCGCAAGACUGAAACUCAAAGGAAUUGACGGGGGCCCGCACAAGCGGUGGAGCAUGUGGUUUAAUUCGAAGCAACGCGAAGAACCUUACCAGGUCUUGACAUCCCGCUGAUUGCCAUGGAGACAUGGCCUUCCCUUCGGGGACAGCGGUGACAGGUGGUGCAUGGUUGUCGUCAGCUCGUGUCGUGAGAUGUUGGGUUAAGUCCCGCAACGGGCGCAACCCUUGUCCUUAGUUGCCAUCAUUCAGUUGGGCACUCUAAGGAGACUGCCGUACAAAUACGGAGGAAGGUGGGGAUGACGUCAAAUCAUCAUGCCCCUUAUGACCUGGGCUACACACGUGCUACAAUGGGUGGUACAAAGGGUCGGCAAACCCGGCGAGGGGGAGCGAAUCCCAAAAAGCCACUACUCAGUUCGGAUUGCAGGCUGCAACCG